rnacentral:rRNA from 1 species
GAUGAACGCUGGCGGCGUGCCUAAUACAUGCAAGUCGAGCGAAUGACGAGGAGCUUGCUCCUCUGAUUUAGCGGCGGACGGGUGAGUAACACGUGGGUAACCUGCCUGUAAGACGGGGAUAACUCCGGGAAACCGGAGCUAAUACCGGAUGAUAACGAGAAGCGCCUGCUUCUUUUUUGAAAGUCGGUUUCGGCUGACGCUUACAGAUGGGCCCGCGGCGCAUUAGUUAGUUGGUGAGGUAACGGCUCACCAAGGCGACGAUGCGUAGCCGACCUGAGAGGGUGAUCGGCCACACUGGGACUGAGACACGGCCCAGACUCCUACGGGAGGCAGCAGUAGGGAAUCUUCGGCAAUGGACGAAAGUCUGACCGAGCAACGCCGCGUGAGCGAUGAAGGCCUUCGGGUCGUAAAGCUCUGUUGUCAGAGAAGAACAAGUACCGGAGUAACUGCCGGUACCUUGACGGUACCUGACCAGAAAGCCACGGCUAACUACGUGCCAGCAGCCGCAGUAAAAC